UACGUAGGUGGCGAGCGUUGUCCGGAUUUAUUGGGUUUAAAGGGUGCGUAGGCGGCCCUGUAAGUCAGUGCUGAAAUAUCCCGGCUUAACCGGGAGGGUGGCAUUGAUACUGCGGGGCUUGAGUGGAGUCGAAGUAGGCGGAAUUGACGGUGUAGCGGUGAAAUGCUUAGAUAUCGUCAAGAACACCGAUAGUGAAGACAGUUUACUAGGCUUUUACUGACGCUGAGGCACGAAAGUGUGUGGAUCAAACAGG
rnacentral:rRNA from 1 species